rnacentral:rRNA from 1 species
AUUGAACGCUGGCGGCAUGCCUUACACAUGCAAGUCGAACGGCAGCACGGGGGCAACCCUGUGGCGAGUGGCGAACGGGUGAGUAAUACAUCGGGAACGUGCCCCGUACGCGGGGGACGAACCAGUCGAAAGAACUGGCUAAUACCGCAUACGCUCCACGGAGGAAAGCAGGGAUCGCAAGACCUUGCACUAUGGGAGCGCCGAUGCCCGAUUAGCUAGUUGGGG